GAGACCCAGGUGUUUAAAUUGACUUUCUCCGUGCUUUGUUCUGUUUGACACCCGCAGGUCGUUUGUUUUAGGCGUCCCCUCGUUCAAACGAGAAUACAGAUCUCGACAGUUCAGUUAAAGCAGCAUCUGUACAGUUUCAUGAGGAGUUUGUAGUCUGGCUGGAGAUGGAGGGUGGAGCAAGCUUCUGCUGGAGCUCAGGUUCCUUGCUUAGCAAGGAAAAGGGGGGUGCUUGGGUUGAAAAAGUGCUUUGAGACAUCCUUGGUGGAGGAACAAGCAAAUAAGGGAACAGACCUUUUUCACAGCAGCAGGUCUCCAUCUGAACGUCCAGCCCUCUCUUCAUCGAACACAUCUCCAUGUACUCGUGCAGGUGACGGUUCAUGUCACUUUUCGCUGUGGCCAGUUCCAGCUGACAAGACAGAAAACACAUUAAUACUACUUUAUGAAGAGCUCCUAAUAAAAGUUGUCAUAUUUACUGCCGAGACUGUUCCAACAACAACCUCUGUGGAAACCACUUAAUGU